rnacentral:rRNA from 1 species
GACAGAGGUGCCGAGCGUUAGACGGAAUCACUGGGCUUAAAGCGUGUGUAGGCGGGCGGGCAAGUACCUUGUGAAAUCCCACGGCUCAACCGUGGAACGGCUGGGUAUACUGCCUGUCUUGAGCCAACUAGGGGCGAGCGGAACAGACGGUGGAGCGGUGAAAUGCGUAGAUAUCGUCUGGAACGCCAAAGGUGAAAACAGCUCGCUGGGGUUGUGCUGACGCUGAGACACGAAAGCCAGGGGAGCGAACGGG